rnacentral:lncRNA from 1 species
CGGCGCCAGACGCUGGCGAAGCCGGGCAUGGAGCCCAGCACGGGCCCUGCUGUCAAGUAACUGACAUCCUGUUGGCCAGAGGCAGACCAAAUAAGGAAAGGAAAGAACAGAUAACGAAAAGCAGUGAGAAAAGUGAAGGGAUGAUACGGGGACCACUACCUUAGCUUGAGAGGUCAGGAAAGGCUCUAUGAGGAGAGGGCUGUUUGAGAACUUAACGAUGUUAGCCCCGUGAAGAUGUGCACAGAGCCUUCCAGGAGGGAACAGCCAGUGCAGAGGCCCUGAGGUUUACGGACACAAUGCUGGAAAACCAGUUCCUGCUCUACCCACGCCUCAACUUGUUAAGAAGAAACAGUAUCUAACACCGAGGCACGUCACAUCUUCGCCAUUCCCACUUCCUUUCUGCCCUAGGCAUUCAAUGUAUGCCACCGGGGGCCAUCAGGACUAGGGCUCUGCAACCACGGCAGCAGACAGGUGUGAAGCUCAGAGUCCCUCCUAACAGCCUCCCUCCAGCGUCUUCUUGGCCGCGGCGGCGAAGCAGCUCCGCAGGGCCUCGAACUCCCGCGCGCAGAAGUCCUUACUC